rnacentral:rRNA from 1 species
UACAGAGGGGGCAAGCGUUGUUCGGAAUUACUGGGCGUAAAGGGCUCGUAGGCGGCCAACUAAGUCGGAUGUGAAAUCCCUCAGCUUAACUGGGGAACUGCGUCUGAUACUGGAUGGCUCGAGUGUGGGAGAGGAAUGCGGAAUUCCAGGUGUAGCGGUGAAAUGCGUAGAUAUCUGGAGGAACACCGGUGGCGAAGGCGGCAUUCUGGACCAUAACUGACACUGAGAGACGAAAGCCAGGGGAGCAAACGGG